GUGAGUUGGUAAGAUAGCUUCGCCUUUCCCUCAAAAGAAAGGUGAGGAAGUUCCAUCCAUGGAGGCUAAAGACGGCGAGAGCUGUCUUUCCGGUAUCAGAAACGAUACCUUUCUGCCUAUAUGGAAUGAAUGUAAAAAGACGUCUGGCAGCAAAGGAUGAAACGGACCGGGAAAGCCUGUGAAGUGCAAGCUUUGGCGCUUAGACGGAUGCUAUCUAAAACAGAAGAUGGGCUAUACCAACACAC
rnacentral:RNase_P_RNA from 1 species